rnacentral:misc_RNA from 1 species
CAGAGUUGCAAAACUCCCUAAACCAUCGUGAACGUUACCCCACAAUCGUUGCUUCGGCGGGCGGCGCCUCACCCGGCGCCCCCUGCCAGGGGCCCUAACGGGCGUCCGCCGGAGGCCUAUAACCCUUGUAUUAUUUUACGGCUUCUCUGAGUUUAUACUUAAAUAAGUCA